GGGCCGGAAGUAGGUAGGACAGUGGUAGGUAGGACAGUGGCAGGUAGGACAGUGGUAGGUAGGACGGUGGUAGGUAGGGCCAGAAGUAGGUAGGACAGUGGUAGGUAAGACGGUGGUAGGUAGGAUGGUGGUAGGUAGGGCAGGAAGUAGGUAGGACAGUGGUAGGUAGGACGGUGGUAGGUAGGAUGGUGGUAGGUAGGGCAGGAAGUAGGUAGGACAGUGGUAGGUAGGACGGUGGUAGGUAGGAUGGUGGUAGGUAGGGCCGGAAGUAGGUAAGACGGUGGUAGCUAGGAUGGUGGUAGGUAGGGCCGAAAGUAGGUAAGACGGUGGUAGGUAGGAUGGUAGUAGGUAGGGCAGGAAGUAGGUAGGACAGUGGUAGGUAUGAUGGUGGUAGGUAAGAUGGUGGUAGGUAGGAUGGUGGUAAGUAGGAUGGUGGUAGGUUGGGCCAGAAGUAGGUAGGACAGUGGUAGGUAGGGCAGGAAGUAGGUAGGACAGUGGUAGGUAGGACGGUGGUAGGUAGGAUGGUGGUAGGUAGGACGGUGGUAGGUAGGAUGGUGGUAGGUAGGACGGUGGUAGGUAGGGCCGGAAGUAGGUAGGACGGUGGUAGGUAGGGCCGGAAGUAGGUAGGACA
rnacentral:lncRNA from 1 species